AAUGAACGUUGGCGGCAUGGAUUAGGCAUGCAAGUCGAGCGGGCGUAGCAAUACGUCAGCGGCGUAAGGGACAGGAACACGUAGAUUACCUGCCCUCGGGUCUGGGAUAACCACGGGAAACUGUGGGUAAUACCAGAUGAUAUCUCCGGAUCAAAGGUGUGAUUCCGCCCGAGGAUGGGUCUGCGUCCUAUUAGCUAGUUGGCGAGGUAAUGGCUCACCAAGGCGAUGAUGGGUAGCAGGUGUGAGAGCACGACCUGCGUCAUUGGGACUGAGACACUGCACAGACACCUACGGGUGGCUGCAGUCGAGAAUUUUUGGCAAUGGGCGAAAGCCUGACCAAGCGAUGCCGCGUGCGGGAUGAAGGCCUUCGGGUUGUAAACCGCUGUCAGUGGGGAGGAAAGCUUUGCGAAGAGCAAGGCUUGACCUAUCCGCAGAGGAAGUGUGGGCUAAGUUCGUGCCAGCAGCCGCGGUAAAAC
rnacentral:rRNA from 1 species